ACAAACCCUGCAGGUUGCUUUCCUGACUAGAUGGUGAUCAGCUUAUGCCCUGAAGCGACAGAGACGGAGACGACCAAAGUUAACAAAAUAAGGCUCCCGUAUGACUUGGUGCAGCACUAUCAGGAGUCCUUCCUGCGGAAAUUGCUAGAAAACAUAUUUUAACUAACUACGACUAGGUUAAUACCAGAGACAGGACUGGAGAGUGUACUUGGAACAUUGGUUGCUGGUAAGAAGGAACUCUUUUUUCACAAGCCACACAUG